UACGUAGGGGGCAAGCGUUGUCCGGAAUCAUUGGGCGUAAAGAGCGCGUAGGCGGCCCUGUAAGUCCGCUGUGAAAGUCAAGGGCUCAACCCUUGAAUGCCGGUGGAUACUGCAGGGCUAGAGUCCGGAAGAGGCGAAUGGAAUUCCUGGUGUAGCGGUGAAAUGCGCAGAUAUCAGGAAGAACACCCGUGGCGAAGGCGGUUCUCUGGGACGGUACUGACGCUGAGACGCGAAAGCGUGGGGAGCGAACAGG
rnacentral:rRNA from 1 species